CAGCCGCCGCGGUAAUACGAAGGGUGCAAGCGUUACUCGGAAUUACUGGGCGUAAAGCGUGCGUAGGUGGUGGUUUAAGUCCGUUGUGAAAGCCCUGGGCUCAACCUGGGAAUUGCAGUGGAUACUGGAUCACUAGAGUGUGGUAGAGGAUAGUGGAAUUUCCGGUGUAGCAGUGAAAUGCGUAGAGAUCGGAAGGAACAUCUGUGGCGAAGGCGACUAUCUGGGCCAACACUGACACUGAGGCACGAAAGCGUGGGGAGCAAACAGGAUUAGAGACCCCCGUAGUCCCUGUCUCUUAUAC
rnacentral:rRNA from 1 species